UGCUGCGGGGGAGGUUUGUGUGCUGGGGAGAGCACAGGAACAGACAGGAAGGCUUAUUUUUAGCAGCGUUUGAUAACAGGGCUGCAGCAAGGUAGCUGCUAGAAGACCUGCUCUGCUUUCUCGGGACAAGGUGACGGAGACUGCAGGGCAGCGAGCGAGCGCAGGAGGUGAGUACAGCAUUGAGCACGGAGUGAGAUGCUUCGAAGUGUAACCAUGCUGGAGGAGUUAUUACCGGGUGUAGCCCUGCUGCGACGAAGCGACCAGCCUCAGGCACCACCUCGGACUGAGACCACGCUGCAUUUCCCAUGGUGCCCUUGAGGAGCUGGGAUGGAUAAGGAUCAUCGCUCUGCCACAGCAGCAACUGCCUGUCGUUACAGAUUUAGCGCCAUCGAAGGAGUCCGGGGUAUUAAGUGGGAAGAAUGAGAAGUACAUUACCUGGCAUGCUACUGAAGUGGACCUUGGUAAGGAGGAUGGGAGCAGGACCCCUUCCCGAUGAGCUGGCACAAGGAGUGAUGGAGGGGUCUGCAGGGUCUCCCAUCCCGCCCACACUUCAGCAAGGCUUAUUCUCUGACAGCACUCCUGCACAGGCCCGCUGCCAACAUGGCCUUCAGCUCAAGGCAGCCACUGCCCGUUUCAUCUCCACAGACCCAGCAGCAGCCCCACAUGCCUGUUAAAGGCUGGAGAGCACCACAGCAGCACCCACGGUACCCGAGCAUCCCAUGGCUGGGCAAGCACCGACAGUCUGUCAGACAGGCUGAAGACCCGUCCCUGUGGCGUGUCCCUUGCACAACUUCACCGGGACGAAGUGCAGCGCAGGGGUCACGGCGUGUUUCUCCAAGAUGCCCUUCAGAGGCCCAGAGCGAGAGACAUCUAAAAUUCAUAAAUGUCAAGGAGGAAAGGAAGUGAGGACAACUAAAUAUAGAUAUCCAAACACCUCCUGUAAGGCUACAAAAGCAGCAUGAUAUACGCAGCCUAAAAGACUCCUUGGACUUGAGCUUGGCAAAGCAUUUAAGGCCAGUCUGGUGACUGGGGACCCUGGCGUUUUGUGUGGGAAACUUCGCUGUUUACUUCGCCAUUCCACUUCAAGGGGAGCAAAAAUGGGUCCUGAAAUAUCUGGGUGUCCUGCGGAAAGGAGAUGCUGGUUUUUCAAAAGGGAAUUGCACAGCAGAAGUACCUGAAACCCAAAAAGAAAUCCAGGGUUGUCAGAGUCUUCAGUAUCUCUUUUAAUUGUUACUCUGGUGGGAUUUUCUCAGAGAUUAUAUUUCCACAGUGAUAACUGUUAUCACUUUAUUUUAUAGUCCCAGCUAUUUGCAAGCUGGGAAUGAGCAGCGUUGGUGUCGAGCAGAGUUUCCAGGACAAGUUGAAAAGCAGAAAGCGCUGGCUUUCAUCUGCCCCGCUUACAAGGAGCACAACAUUUUCCCCAGUGCUUGCAUCCCAGUCCUGGCUCCCCGCGACCUUACGGCCAUCCCCUGCAAAGGCUGAUCGCUGAGGAGGCACUGAAGUUGGCCAGGCAACUGGCGUGCUUCAUGCCCGAAUGCCGUGCUAGGGCAGCGCCUGGGAGCUGCAGAGCUGGCUGCCUCGCAGCGCUUGCAGGAUCUGGCCCUUGGGCCAGGGAAAUAACGCUUGGUGUUUUCAAGGCAAGGGCCCUUUGAAGAAUUUCCCCCCAGCGCUGCUGGGCUUUGUUGUCCCGGCCACCGCAGGCACCGAGCGUGGGCUGCCGGCAAUCGCCCCACCGCCAGCCUGCGCGGCACAGCCGGCGGACCCCUCAGCGGUGUGCAGCUGGGACGAGCGGGCAGGGAUGUAUUAACGGCGGGAGCUUGUCACAGGCAAUUCGCAAAACAUUGCCCUAACCUUUGAUCCUACUAGCUUCGUCCUUUUCUCCUUGUUUCUCAUCUUCCCUUCUUCCUUCCAUCUUUACGCAGCGUCUUGCGGGGAAGGGACCCGAUGUGAGAUUUGUGGCUGCUCUUAGAGGUGCACCAGGAGCCUCGCUGUUGCCCUGGCCCUGUGCCAGCCAGCCAAGGCUUCCCACCGCCUUCCCACCUCCUUCCUGGACUGAACGCUUUUCCCCACAUGCAGUGAACCUGGGCGCUUCUCCCACCUGUUGGCAUUUUGCUUUUUUUUGGGUGGGUGUCUGCUUAAAUGGGGUUUUUCCCCGGAGACAUAUUAGCUGCCUUAAGCCCUGCCCCAGGACGAGGAGAAAUGAGCCAUCCUUUUUAACAGAACUUGCAUUUUUCCUCCUCACCUGCAUAAUACGUUCUGUUAAAUUUAUAGUUUUUCAAUCCCUUUGAUGUAGGGGACUCAAAACACUUCCUCACUAAUCUCACGCAGCAGUGCCUGAAACGCUGAAGGCGCUGGCGGGGGAUAUGGCAGGGAACCAGACAACAAUUAUUGGCGUUUGGGGGGCUGGGGCAGCAUUAAGAGACAGCUAAUUUUAAAAUAAAUUAUACCAUUAAACCACUUUUGGUUUUUUUUCCCCUGCUUUUUGUGCUACAGGCUCACCAAAGAAGAGGCAAAGCUGGAGCACCCCAGCAGAGUGGCCACGCUGGCUACAGAGGAGCUCACUGGGGGUUUGCGGGCAGGAGGAAGAGGAGGGCAGCUUUGUCUGGGAACAAGCUCCUGCACUGGGCGAAUGCACUUGCCCACCAACCGUACCAAAUACUUGUACAGGGAUUGACCCAUUCAAGCCGGUCACGCAAACCUCCCUCGCAAGACACUUCCUCUUUAGUAAUCAAUAACCUGCACACUCCACACCUUGCUUCCAUCUCACAUUUGGCAUGCAUUUGUCUUAAGUUAUUCGAAGUUGAAAGCAAAGAAAAAUGGUACUGUAAUUCUGCCUGCCACCAAUUCAAAGAUUUGGGGCUUUUGCUGGAGGAAGAGGAGUGACAAAAUGUAUGUGACGUAGGGCCCCGCAUCUGGAAGGCACCUUAAAGCUUUACAGAGAAGCUUUGCAUAGAGUGUAAUUUGCUGUUAGGAAAAAGCUGAAUUGCUAGAAUAGAAUUUUCCUGCUGCCGGCCCUGCCCGAGCUGGUGCCCAGAUGAGUGCUGUACCACAUGCCGUGCUUUGGGGAAGAGCGGUGGCAGCCGCCUUCCCUUCCGAAGGGGGACGUGAACUGAGACGCCAGCCUGUCACCAGAGCCCCUUCCCCAGGAAUGUGGCUGCAGCUGCUGUUCCGAGGGCAGAACUUUGGCUCCCCAUAAUUAAUACUGAUUUUGCCGUAACAGCUUGUAUUUUAGUGCAUUAUCUUUCCUCUUUUCCACCCUUUGAGCUGUGAUUGCUACUCCACUUUAUAAAGGAAGCCCCAUUAUUUUCUCUCACAAAUAGAGCGGGGUCAAUUUUCAUAGCCCCUUCGCCACUCCAUUAAGCAUUACUGAAUUCACCACUUCUCACUGAUACGGCAGUAUUUCUGUCUCUGCUCGCUUUUCGUUUCUUCCUAAAGCUCAGGAAGACACUUGCUCAUAAUCGUGGGUUUAGUAUCCGAGAAACCCAACCAUUUGCUGAAACUUCAGCAAAAGUUUAAACAUUGCCACGUCUUUACCAAUGGGCAGGAUUAGCCACAGCCCUGGCUUAGCAUCUUUCCAGAAGUCAAGUGGGCUUGUUCUCUGGAUGGGCUUCAUUUAGUUACUGAAGGUCUUAGGGACUCCUUAAGGAUGCUCGCCCAUCAGCUGGGAUCGGAGAAUGUGGUUCUCUCCCACAAAGGGCUUUGCGCCGUGGAAACGUGUGCAAGCCAGGCUCCGGAGCGGGAUGCCUGGGACCACGCUGGACUGCAGGAGCAUGUCCUCACGGGAGCCUGGCUGGAUGAGCGUGCAUGUUUGCUCUGGGUGCGCAAAGAUGGGAAGGAGUUAAGCCCAGCCACCCCAGGACCUUCAUGUCCAGCAUGAUUCAGGCCAUUUAAUUAGUGUCCCAUGCUUGGCAUAUUCGAUAGUGUUUUCCCCCCAGGGAGAAGCGCACCAGCUCACAUAUAUUGCCUGUUAUCUUUCAAGUACUCAGAGCAGAAUGCUUUUUCAGUAACCUCAUCAAAGGAUAAGCCAGGAUUCAGAUAAGCUUUUCAAGGAGGAAGUCAGGGUUAUAAUUUUCAGAGACUUCUGAAUGUCACCUCCAAUUUUCGGCUCCGCCGUUGGAGCGGCCGUUUUUGGAAGCCACCUAGCCUCAGAUAUUGAAAUGGGUGACCUGUGGACUCAGGCCUCCUCAGUUUCUGGUCAUCGUCAGUCUGGCAGAUCCUGGAGUUGAAAGUGCUUGAGAUUUCUGACUUUAUAAUAACGCGGUUUCUCAGAAGUGCAAAUUACAGAGGAAUUGGUGCUAAACUCCCCAUUAACUAUGGAGCCCGAGAAAUCCUCAGUGUCCCAAAUUACCUGUCACUUUCUCUGUAACACGGCAUAAUUCUGUCGCUUUAAAAAAAAAAAAGUGACCAUCAUUUGACAUU